rnacentral:rRNA from 1 species
AUAAGUUUAACGGCCGCGGUACCUUAACCGUGCAAAGGUAGCACAAUCAAUCGUCCCUUAAAUAGGGACUAGUAUGAAUGGCUUCACGAGGGCUUAACUGUCUCCCCUCUUCAAUCAAUGAAACUGAUCUUCUCGUGAAGAAGCGAGAAUGUUAAUAUAAGACGAGAAGACCCUAUGGAGCUUUAAACCCAUUACCACCUGCCCGUAUUAUACCAAAAUAAUUGGCAGCCUGUUCUUAUAAUGGUUUUUGGCUGGGGUGGCCCUGGAGUAAAAUAAACCCUCCAGACUGAAUGAUUUAAGACCCUAAUCUAAGAAUUACAAUUCAAAGAAUCAAUACUUUGACAUAAUUGACCCAAUAAAUUGAUCAACGAACCAAGUUACCCUAGGGAUAACAGCGCAAUCCAUUUCAAGAGCCCCUAUCGACAAAUGGGUUUACGACCUCGAUGUUGGAUCGGGGUAUCCUAGCGGCGCAGCCGCUGCUAAAGGUUCGUUUGUUCAACGAUUAAUAACCCCACGUGAUCUGAUUCCAAAACCGGACCGCCUGUUUACCAAAAACAUAUAUGUGAUCUGAGUUCAAACGGGGUCGCCUGUAUACCAAAAAUUUAUU